rnacentral:rRNA from 1 species
GCACGGCGCACGGGUGCGUAACACGUGGGUAACCUGCCCUUUGGUGGGGAAUAACCUCGCGAAAGCGAGGCUAAUUCCGCAUAAGAUCCGCAAGGAUGAAAGCCGCAAGGCGCCGAAGGAGGGGCCCGCGCACGAUUAGUUAGUUGGUAGGGUAACGGCCUACCAAGACUAUGAUCGUUAGCUGGUCUGAGAGGAUGGCCAGCCACACUGGAACUGAGACACGGUCCAGACUCCUACGGGAGGCAGCAGUGGGGAAUCUUGCGCAAUGGGCGAAAGCCUGACGCAGCGACGCCGCGUGGGGGAUGAAGCUUCUCCGAGUGUAAACCCCUUUCGACUGGGACGAAUACCUCGCA